rnacentral:SRP_RNA from 1 species
AAUGGAGGGCAUUGGGUUAAUCUUUCGCCAACCCGGUCAGGUUCGGAAGAAAGCAGCCGUAACGAACCGAUUAAGGUCAGUGUUCCUCCGCCUUU